UAUUGAUAUCCGGAAGCGGGCGCUCCCUUUGGGGGGCUUGACAAGGGAAGACGGUGCGAAGCCGUCGCGGUCCCGCCGCUGUAACCGAGGACGAGGGCCGCAGGCAGGCCACUGCCGGCAGAAUCCCUUGGCGCGAAAGGCGCGAGAAGCCUCCAGCGCCGCCGGGGAAAGCGAGGCCGGCGGGAAGGCGCGGCCCUUCGGACGAUCCGGGAGCCAGAAGACCUGUCCGUUUCCCAAAGCCGCC
rnacentral:ncRNA from 1 species